rnacentral:lncRNA from 1 species
CAGCUCCUUGGUUCCAGGCUGGGCAUGGGCAGAGUUGACGGGGGGUAGCUCAGCUAUUGGUUCUGUGUUGCAGCCACGGGCAGAGCAGGCAAACGGCUCUAAAGGGACCGCCAAAGCACCGCAGCAGGGGAGGCCUUCUCAGGCCCAGCCACCACCAGGACCUGGACCUGCAGGUCUGAAGGUUGGAGCCAAGACUGGAGGGACCCCAGGAGCUCCUGCCAGCCCACCAGGAGCCGAUGGGGAGAGCGUGCUCUCCAAAAUCCUCCCUGGUGGGGCAGCAGAGCAGGCCGGCAAGCUGACGGAAGCUGUGUCUGCUUUUGGCAAAAAAUUCUCCUCCUUCUGGUGACCAUGCCCUGCAGGGCUCUUGAAGAAAUGAAGGGAGAUGAUAUUAUUGCUGUGGAAAAAUCUCUGGAGUCAGAGGCCUGGGCGCAGCUCUGGACUCUGCGUAUAACACCACCUCUCUGCAGCCUGGCCAGCCAGGCUUCUAAUGCGUUAUACGCAGAGUUUGGGCGCACGCUGCCUGUUUCUGAUGGACGCCGCCCUCCCUCCACAAUGCCAGAAGUUUUUCCACAGCCUUGGAGAGGGGCUUUGACUGAGGGCUGGGGGCCCCAGGCUCCAUUUCCUUCACAUUCCAGCUGGCCCGGAUCCCUCUGUGGCCACAGGGCCCUGCUCCCCUCACCCUGCCCUCUGGGUGACACCGGAGCAGACUUCUGUGUGACUAGCGUGGUUUUGGGAGAACUUUAAAACAUUAGGACCUAACACUGUCUCAUCGCUGAAAUAAGAGGCCAUAGCACCGAAAAGCAGUGUGGACGCCGGCUGAGGCUUCUCCCAGCCCAUGGGUGGCCGCGUGCUAGCACACCUGCCACCAUCUUCAAAGCCAUCCCCCCAGUCAUCGUGAGCAUCCCAGCGGCACCGCCAUUGUCUCAACCAGCCGGCUCCUCGUUCAUACACCUGGGGAUUUCUUUUGAUUUCAAGAACAGCCUUAAUCAUUUCGGUUUGAUUUAAGUGUAUACCUCAUGAACAUUUUUCUUUCGUUGCCCCUCCCCUUUACUCUCUUCUCUCUCUCGGCUCAGCUCCUUGCCUCUCCCCUCCACCACCACCUUGUGACUGAUGGUUUGGUUUCCUUUCUGCUCUGUCCCUGCUCAGCACAGGGAGAAUGUUGACUUAGAAGCAAUAGUGGGCAGCAGGCCACCAAGAGCACAACCCCAGGGCGGGGUCUAGGGAGGCCCCUCAGCCCGCCUCUGUUUACCGUGCAACUCCAGUCCUUCUUAAGCCAUCACCAGUGGACGUGCUCAGAGCAGAGGGGCUAGGGCUUCUGCCAGCCGACGGAAGGGCCCAGAGCCCUGCGUUGGGGAGUGUGGCACCAUCCAUCCACCCGGUGGACUGGGUGGUGGUCCUUCCCAAGGCCCUUCCCUUGGGGACCUCCCUUCAUCUUGGGCACAGCCGCAAGUCUCAUCUCUAACGUUCUAUGCAAUGAAAUAUAAACCCUCAAAGACAACUGUUAAUAUUUAAUAAAUUCCAUGUUAUGUAUAAGGAGUUAAUUGCAAACCUGCAAUUGAGAAACUGGAUAGAUAUGCUCAUAUCAAACCCCUCACCCCCCUGCCCCGCCCCACCAUGUGUGUGAAUUCUCAGUCUGUGGCAUGUUUGACCUGUGGCAGGACUCGCUGCUGCCAGGCGAGUCACCGCCUGUCCUGCAGUGGAGCAUGCACAGCUCGCAGCCCCUUUGCACGAUUUCAUCCAUUUUAAAUGCUUGACCCCUUUGCUUGGAGUUCUUUUUGUCUCAGAACCUUUCCUUCAGGAGUUCUUCUAGCUGACUUUUGCACGAGCUAGUGAGGACCCACUGAAAUUGCUGCCCAAGCAUGCCAGGCCAUAGGCCAGGCAGUGCAAGGCACCACACACCCUGCCGGUUUCUCUGAUCAAGAUGUCUCUGGAGUAGACAUGCUGUUGGGAGCCUGCACAGGAUGUGUGUGCAUGAACAUUCAGAAGGUUUGCUGUAGGAUUUCCAUCUGUAAGUCUUUCCCCCUCUUACACAAGCCCUGAGCCAGAGACAUCUGGCCACCCCUUCCUAGCGAGGCACUGCUCAAGGGCAGAGCUGGGCUGCAUCUGUAGUCAGAGAGACAGAGGCCACGGGCAGAGCCUGGCUGUGUCCUGGGACCCCAGCUCCUGACUGCACUUGCUCCCUGCCUCUCCUCUCUGGCUGGGAGGCUCAAAGGUCUGUGAUCCAGGAGAUCUAGGCUGGGGCCAGAGGGUCAGGGAGUGCUCAGGAAGAGUUGGACCUUUGGCAUUUCUGGUGAGGACAGCUGACAGUAUCAUCUUGGACUGGAGUGAGUGUUCACAUAGACAGUGGCUCAAGCUGAGUUUCUUGGGAAGCUUCUCAAUAACAAAACAUACAGAAGGUUCUGUUGUGACACUCUGCAUCUGUCCCCAAGACCCAAACUCCCUGCCAGCCCCCAUCUCUGAAGCCUAAGUAUCCCAUUGCUCAUUAGCUUCUCUACAGCUGAGCCAAGAGGGCAGCAGGUGGCAGCUGCCUGACCCCUCCAGGCCUGGCCUUCCUCCAGAGUGCUCUGGUCUGUACCAUGCAGUUCUCAGGGGUCCAUGUUUCUCAUGCUUUCCUGUAAGGUCUACACACCCUUCAGAGGGAUUCUGGCCCACCUCUGGUAGUCGUGGAUAAGAUAGGAGGCUGUCAACCCCUGUGUUGGGCCCAAGACCCUGUCCUUUGGGAUUUGGGCUUCACCCAUCCCAUGGGACACCUGCCUCAUCCCAGAGAUCAGGCUUGGGCUGGUUGAGGCCAUCUGUGUAAGGGCUGAGGGAGUCCACCAUCCAGCACCUCGGACCACCCAGGGCUCAGUCUGUAUGGAGAUGUGCCUAGUGGCUGGAUACGUUGGGGACCAAGGCAGUGAUCCUUCCCACAAAAGGCCAAGGGAUGGGGCCAGGAGCAGGGAACAGGCAGGGAGAUGACAGCAGGUCAGCCUCAAAUGUUGACUUUCCAGCAAAUCUCCUUUCUGGCCAAGCUCUCUGAUUUUGAAAUUUCUGACAUCUGCCACUCCCUACCCUGCAGUGUACCCACAGGACACAUCUGUACCCAUCACCCCUUGUGAAGGUGGCUGGAGCAGGCCUCUGGGCCGCAGGUGUCCUGGCCCUUGUGUAGAUACAGCUGUGGCUCUGGGGCCAGAGGCUGAGGGACUAGGAUUUGGUGCCUUGGGCAGUGGGGAGCAUUGAGCACAUCUCUACGUGGGCAAGGCGGUCUCUAGGAUGCACUACAGACCUUCUCCACAGCUCCCCACCCCCAGUGUCAUGAGCAAAGGCACUGCCUCCUCUGUCCACUUCAGGGCCCAGUGUAUCCACUUCACAGUGACACCUCCCUUCCCCACCAUCCACUUAGUCCUUGGGAAGAGAGUGUGGUCUCAGGGCCUAUGAUGAGAGGGCAGCAGUGGCAGCAACUAUGGCCUGUCUUCUGGAGCCUGUGGGGAGUUUUCCAGGCAGAUCCUUUGCCAUGGCAGCAGGGUCCUGGCCUGUCUGCCCCUCCCCUGCCAUCAUGCUCCCAACCCCCAUUCUGUAAAUAUGCAUCAUCAUGGACUCCAACAGGGUCAGGGGGACAGGCCUGAUGAACUGAAACUCCUCAGAGAUAUCAUUUCUGUCUCCCUGGGUAGCAGCAGCCCUGCUGCCAUGUGCACUGGGGUGGCACUGGAGAGCCAUGGAAAUUGUGAGCUAUUGUGUGUGUAUGCAUGUGAACAAGUGUGUGAGUGUGUGUGUGUGCGCGCGUGUGUGCGCACGUGUGCGCACGUCUGCCUCAUUUGGCCUCUGGGAUCAAAUCAGCUCCUUCUCUCUAAGUGCAGUGCCCUGGAGAGUGGUGGCUGCCCAACACCUUUCCUCUGCUAGCUUCCAUGUCUUGUUUUUGCUUUCCCCUCACUCCUUCCCUGACUCCCUUCUUUCUUCUCUCCUUUCUUUCCUUCUCUCCUUCUUUAUUUGAGGGGGAAAGAGUGCUGUACAAAGUCAAACAAACAAGUUUACAGUUGUAAGUGCAAUGACCCGAGUCCUCCACAUGACCUUGUGAAUUGUGUGCCGUCCUCCUGUGCUCUGUGAGAACUCGUGGUACUUGUGUCUCUCCCCCUGUAUUGUGACAAGGUAACUCUGUGGUAUCAGAAUAAAAGGACUUGAUAUAAACAACCUACAGACUGUCUCUGGGAUGGUUUCUGAAACGGGAAGGCUUAGCCAGAGGAACAA